AUCCUUCCAGCUCCUUCCCUCCUGAGGUCCGGACACCUGGGCCAGCACGUAGCCCCAGCUCUGUUCCUCCAGUGCUGGGGGACCCUGGGAUGUCCCCACCCUCUUUGGGACUGUGUCUCUGCUUGUUCCCUAGGGGAGAGAAGGCUCUUUUGUCCCCUUCUAGGGGUUGCAGCCAAAUGUGGUCUCAUCUUCGCCUGCCCCAAAGGAUUCAAAUGCUGUGGUGACAGCUGCUGCCAGGAGAACGAGCUCUUCCCUGGCCCCGUGAGGAUCUUCGUCAUCAUCUUCCUGGUCAUCCUGUCCCUCUUUUGCAUCUGUGGCCUGGCUAAGUGCUUCUGUCGCAACUGCAAAGAGCCGGAGCCAGACACCCCAAUGGAUUGCCGGGGGCCCCUGGAACUGCCGUCCAUCAUUCCCCCAGAGAGGGUCAGAGUAUCCCCCUCUGUGCCCCCACCCCCCUACAGUGAGGUGGGUGUCUCAUCCCCAUCCCUACCUUGCCUCUGCCCGGCUGUACAGCAGGGACAGUGGAGGGCCCUUUGAUCCUGGAGGGCACUCUGCACCCAGCAUUGGGUCACCCCUCUCCCUGGU
rnacentral:sRNA from 1 species